rnacentral:rRNA from 1 species
UUCCUACGGGGCGCAGCAGCCGCGGUAAUACGUAGGGUGCAAGCGUUAUCCGGAUUUAUUGGGCGUAAAGGGCUCGUAGGCGGUUCGUCGCGUCCGGUGUGGAAGUCCAUCGCUUAACGGUGGAUCCGCGCCGGGUACGGGCGGGCUUGAGUGCGGUAGGGGAGACUGGAAUUCCCGGUGUAACGGUGGAAUGUGUAGAUAUCGGGAAGAACACCAAUGGCGAAGGCAGGUCUCUGGGCCGUUACUGACGCUGAGGAGCGAAAGCGUGGGGAGCGAACAGGAUUCGAUACCCGUGUAGUCCCCCU